GAUGAACGCUGGCGGCGCACCUAACACAUGCAAGUCGAACGAUUAAAGCACCUUCGGGUGUGUAUAAAGUGGCGAACGGCUGAGUAACACGUGGGCAACCUGCCCCUCUCAUUGGGAUAGCCACGGGAAACCGUGGAUAAUACCGAAUACUUCGGGACUUCCGCAUGGAAGACUCGAGAAAGCUCCGGCGGAGAGGGAUGGGCCCGCGGCCUGUUAGCUUGUUGGUGGGGUAAUGGCCUACCAAGGCAAUGAUGGGUAGCUGGGUUGAGAGACCGACCAGCCAGAUUGGGACUGAGACACGGCCCAGACUCCUACGGGAGGCAGCAGUGGGGAAUCUUGCACAAUGGGCGAAAGCCUGAUGCAGCGACGCCGCGUGCGGGAUGAAGGCCUUCGGGUUGUAAACCGCUUUCAGCAGGGACGAGGCGAAAGUGACGGUACCUGCAGAAGAAGCCCCGGCUAACUACGUG
rnacentral:rRNA from 1 species